UGUUUCGGCAAGGGGGUCAUCCCGACUUACCAACCCGAUGCAAACUGCGAAUACCGGAGAAUGUUAUCACGGGAGACACACGGCGGGUGCUAACGUCCGUCGUGAAGAGGGAAACAACCCAGACCGCCAGCUAAGGUCCCAAAGUCAUGGUUAAGUGGGAAACGAUGUGGGAAGGCCCAGACAGCCAGGAUGUUGGCUUAGAAGCAGCCAUCAUUUAAAGAAAGCGUAAUAGCUCACUGGUCGAGUCGGCCUGCGCGGAAGAUGUAACGGGGCUAAACCAUGCACCGAAGCUGCGGCAGCGACGCUUAUGCGUUGUUGGGUAGGGGAGCGUUCUGUAAGCCUGUGAAGGUGUGCUGUGAGGCAUGCUGGAGGUAUCAGAAGUGCGAAUGCUGACAUAAGUAACGAUAAAGCGGGUGAAAAGCCCGCUCGCCGGAAGACCAAGGGUUCCUGUCCAACGUUAAUCGGGGCAGGGUGAGUCGACCCCUAAGGCGAGGCCGAAAGGCGUAGUCGAUGGGAAACAGGUUAAUAUUCCUGUACUUGGUGUUACUGCGAAGGGGGGACGGAGAAGGCUAUGUUGGCCGGGCGACGGUUGUCCCGGUUUAAGCGUGUAGGCUGGUUUUCCAGGCAAAUCCGGAAAAUCAAGGCUGAGGCGUGAUGACGAGGCACUACGGUGCUGAAGCAACAAAUGCCCUGCUUCCAGGAAAAGCCUCUAAGCAUCAGGUAACAUCAAAUCGUACCCCAAACCGACACAGGUGGUCAGGUAGAGAAUACCAAGGCGCUUGAGAGAACUCGGGUGAAGGAACUAGGCAAAAUGGUGCCGUAACUUCGGGAGAAGGCACGCUGAUAUGUAGGUGAAGCGACUUGCUCGUGGAGCUGAAAUCAGUCGAAGAUACCAGCUGGCUGCAACUGUUUAUUAAAAACACAGCACUGUGCAAACACGAAAGUGGACGUAUACGGUGUGACGCCUGCCCGGUGCCGGAAGGUUAAUUGAUGGGGUUAGCCGCAAGGCGAAGCUCUUGAUCGAAGCCCCGGUAAACGGCGGCCGUAACUAUAACGGUCCUAAGGUAGCGAAAUUCCUUGUCGGGUAAGUUCCGACCUGCACGAAUGGCGUAAUGAUGGCCAGGCUGUCUCCACCCGAGACUCAGUGAAAUUGAACUCGCUGUGAAGAUGCAGUGUACCCGCGGCAAGACGGAAAGACCCCGUGAACCUUUACUAUAGCUUGACACUGAACAUUGAGCCUUGAUGUGUAGGAUAGGUGGGAGGCUUUGAAGUGUGGACGCCAGUCUGCAUGGAGCCGACCUUGAAAUACCACCCUUUAAUGUUUGAUGUUCUAACGUUGACCCGUAAUCCGGGUUGCGGACAGUGUCUGGUGGGUAGUUUGACUGGGGCGGUCUCCUCCUAAAGAGUAACGGAGGAGCACGAAGGUUGGCUAAUCCUGGUCGGACAUCAGGAGGUUAGUGCAAUGGCAUAAGCCAGCUUGACUGCGAGCGUGACGGCGCGAGCAGGUGCGAAAGCAGGUCAUAGUGAUCCGGUGGUUCUGAAUGGAAGGGCCAUCGCUCAACGGAUAAAAGGUACUCCGGGGAUAACAGGCUGAUACCGCCCAAGAGUUCAUAUCGACGGCGGUGUUUGGCACCUCGAUGUCGGCUCAUCACAUCCUGGGGCUGAAGUAGGUCCCAAGGGUAUGGCUGUUCGCCAUUUAAAGUGGUACGCGAGCUGGGUUUAGAACGUCGUGAGACAGUUCGGUCCCUAUCUGCCGUGGGCGCUGGAGAACUGAGGGGGGCUGCUCCUAGUACGAGAGGACCGGAGUGGACGCAUCACUGGUGUUCGGGUUGUCAUGCCAAUGGCACUGCCCGGUAGCUAAAUGCGGAAGAGAUAAGUGCUGAAAGCAUCUAAGCACGAAACUUGCC
rnacentral:rRNA from 1 species